ACAACGUUUUCAUAUGAUUUUCAGAGUAAAAAGCGAUUACUUCCUAUAAACAACCAUAAAAUUUGAUCCUCGUAAUGGUUAUUGGCUGAGGCAUCGACUGAAUUAUUAUCUGAUAUUUUUAUUAAAUUCUUCUUCAGAUGGUUAAAUCAAGUACAGCUUUGCGUUAGUUCCAGGUUAUCCAUGGUCGAAAGUUAUGCCAAUAACGUGAGUCUCACAGAAAACCAGACACCCUCUGUUCGUUCCUGCAUGCAUUCAAGAUGGUUCUGUAAUGACGUCAGAUUUCAAGACUUCAGAUGUUUAGGGGGAAGCAUUACUCUGAAUAAGUCACUAAAAGGCGCCUGAAUAUGAAUAACCCUCAACACACACCGACAUGGAAUUUCCCAAUAUACGUGCAUGAAACGAACAAAGGUGUUCAUUCCUGAAUGUCACUGUGAAGAGACUGCAUGAUGCAUGAGCAGUUAGUAUUACAGCUCUAAGUGAUUCAAGAUAACAACAAUACAUACCGCGAGAUCCCUUCACAGAAAACAGCAGAACCAACUAGGCACAAAGAGAAGAUAUAAGGCAAGUCCACUGCUAGGA